GUAGUUUGUCAUUGGUUGUGUAUUUUGUGUUGCGAUGUGUUGACGUUCUUGACUGAUUUAACUUGCAAUUCGGUGUGGUUCAAUGAGAUUUAUAAUGGAACAUCGAAUAAUCCGGAGAGCCAGACCACUACAGCCUGGUGUAAGGUACGCUAAAGUUUAGCGGCUAAACUCUGUCGAAAUCUGGCAAGUUGAGCCGUCCCAAGAACAGAAGAAGGCUGCGGAACUCUCUGCAUUCUUCAGUUUUCCCCUCGGGAUGAAGAACCUAUUGGUCAGCUUGAUCGUCUCCACAGCUACAAGAUGAACUUGCUUCACAUCUCAUCCCAACCAACAUGGUGCAGUAAGGAAUUACAGGGAGAAGCAAGCUAAGAUACAGGAGACUUUCAGAAGACCAUACAGCCACCAGUUUCUCUUUACUUGCUGGACCAAUAUGACGCCGCCCAACUCGCCCAGCAUUCACAAGACCCUAUCUAUUGUCCACAGUCACCACCUGUUCUCCAUCCCCAGACAACAAUACCCCAAUCAGCAGAUUUCCUUUUGCUCAUAUAAUACCUGAGAAAAGAGGAGAGACAAAGAAAAUAAGAAGAUUUAAGGAUUGAACAAGAGAAAGGAUCCAACAAAAGAGAGAGAGGAGUAUGAAAUUCGCAUGUAACAGUGGUUUUCUGCACGUUCUACCCCCUCGUACAGCAGGCAACCACAGGAUCAGCCCCACAGGAAGCCCCAGCAUGCCUCUUUGACACCUGCAGCUCCUACCUUGCCACCAGAAUGUGCAACGACCCCAUCAGCAUUCCCUCCACAGAAUGCAAUCGCCCUUUGCCUAGAUGUAACUCUUAAAAUUUUUCAGGAAUGGUGAAGUCAAUGGCACAGUUAUCCUCUCAUGGUGGAUCUCCCCAAUUUACCCAGAGAGAAACAAUUAAUCCAGAUGAGGAGGAUGUGUCAUACCCUGGGACACCAGAAUAAGUGUCAUUUAGUGUUGCAUGCCCUACAAGAACACAUCUAGAGCCUUUGGAAUGAGACUACAUCAUAGGGAGCCGCUCCUGCUAACAGUAAGAGGAAGUCUUUUUCAGACUUUUAUGUAACCAAUAACUCUCUACACGAUAUUAUCAAAACACACCUAUGAGGCUACCAGGAAGGCCACUUCUGCAGUUUGUGCUUUGCCUUCUCAGCUGCCCUCUCAAACUAAAGGAAGCAGAAGAAGCAGGGAAAGGGUACCGCACCAUCACAGUCUCUUACAUGCAAGUCACACAAUUGCACGUCAGGAUCCACAAUGUGUCAGCAUCUGCAGCAACUGUGCCCAGGCACAGAGGUGUCCCGGCAGACAGAUCCAGUACUACCACUGCAACCAACAGGGACAUUAUGACAAGUCCUCCUGGAAGAAGACAAGGGAUGUAAAACAAGGUGCCCUUCCCAGUGCCAAGCCUACACCUUUCCAGUGACAAACCUACACCACCCUCUCUGGGCAAAAACCCCAGCUGUCAUUGGAUGGGAAGAACUUCUAUCAAGACACUACAGCCAAUCUCCAUUUCCCUCUCGUAUGAUGACAUCACAACCAGGAUUCAGAUGCUGCCAGACAUAGGUGCUGAUGUCUCUGUUAUGGGACCUCAACAUCUUCACCUUCUGUGGAUUCCUAGGAGCAUACUGCAACCCCAAAUGUUCACUGCAGAUGGCUCUAUAAUGACACCUGCCUUAGGAUCUUUCACGGCCAUUCUCACCCUAGCUCAGAGACCUCAUUCAGCAAGGAUCCAAGUCCAUGAAGGUGUCUGAACACCAUUGCUGUCGUAUAGCCACUACAAAGAGUGAGCCAUUAUUCUGCCAGUGUUUCCAAGACCUAUUCUGGAUGUUAGCCCCUAUUCUGGAUGUUACCUCCUAUUCUGGAUGUUACCUCCUAUUCUGGAUGUUACCCAUACCAAUAGAUGGGACUAUGAGUGUGAAGGGGAAGGAAGAUGUAGAUACUAUAAUUUAUAUGUAGCAUGUAUUUGUCAUUGUAUAAUGUAUUCUUGCCUCCAAUUAUAUUUGCCUUCCAUUAUAUAACAAUGUAUUCUUGCCUCUCAUUAUAUAACAUUGUCCAUUAUAUAACAUGGUAUAUUGAUAAAUGGCAACCGAACAAAUUCCCAAUGGAUCCAAUGCCUAGCAGUAUACAGAUUCCCCUCUCCGAAUUCGGCUGUUCAGGCGUUACCCUUGUUCUUACCUAAUAAAGAACCUCCAUUUUAGAUGAAUUUGUUUCAUGUCUCAUCCUAGAUUGCAUGCUAGCUUUUCGUCUCAAUCUGGGGAUUAUGAUCAAUACUGUGGUAAGGUAAAUUGCGUAAUAAACGUACA